ensembl:lncRNA
UUUUUUUCAUGAUGACCAAAGAGAAUCAUCAAUCAUCAAUAAAGCGGAUUUACAUGACAUUAAAAUGUAUGUGUGUAUUUCAAUUAUUUUCCUUAUGGUUAUUUUCAUGACGACCAAUAAAAAACAACAGUGUUACCCCCUAUGUUUUUUUUCAUGACGACCAAUAAAAAACAACAGUGUUACCCCUUAUGUUUUUUUUCAUGACGACCAAUAAAAAACAAGUGUUACCCCCUAUGUUUUCUUUGAUAAAUAUCGACAGUGUUACCCCUUAUGUUUUUUUUCACGACGACUAAUAAAAAACAACAGUGUUACCCCUUAUGUUUUUUUUCAUGACGACCAAUAAAAAACAACAGUGUUACCCCUUAUGUUUUUUUUCAUGACGACCAAUAAAAAACAAGUGUUACCCCCCAUGUUUUCUUUGAUAAAUAUCGACAGUGUUACCCCU